rnacentral:rRNA from 1 species
AACCCGGAGAAAUUCGGACUAAUAUCCCAUAACAAUAUCCGGGGGCAUCUUUGGAUAUUUAAAGUUCCGGCGGUACGGGAUGGGCAUGCGUAACAUUAGCUAGUUGGUAAGGUAACGGCUUACCAAGGCUUUGAUGUUUAGGGGUCCUGAGAGGGUGGUCCCCCACACUGGUACUGAGACACGGACCAGACUCCUACGGGAGGCAGCAGUGAGGAAUAUUGGUCAAUGGGCGCAAGCCUGAACCAGCCAUCCCGCGUGCAGGAAGACGGCGCUAUGCGUUGUAAACUGCUUUUCCAGGGAGAGAAACUUGCGCACGUGUUGCGCAAUUGACGGUACCCUGGGAAUAAGCAUCGGCUAACUCCGUGCCAGCAGCCGCGGUAAUACGGAGGAUGCGAGCGUUAUCCGGAUUCAUUGGGUUUAAAGGGUGCGUAGGCGGACUAUUAAGUCAGUGGUGAAAUCCUGCAGCUUAACUGCAGAACUGCCAUUGAUACUGAUAGCCUUGAGUUUGGUUAAGGUAGGCGGAAUGUGUAAUGUAGCGGUGAAAUGCUUAGAUAUUACACAGAACACCAAUUGCGUAGGCAGCUUACUGAGCCGACACUGACGCUGAGGCACGAAAGCGUGGGGAUCGAACAGGAUUAGAUACCCUGGUAGUCCACGCCGUAAACGAUG